rnacentral:rRNA from 1 species
GAUGAACGCUAGCGGCAGGCCUAACACAUGCAAGUCGAGGGGUAACAUGAGUGCUUGCACUUGAUGACGACCGGCGCACGGGUGCGUAACGCGUAUACAAUCUACCUUGUACUGAGGGAUAGCCCAGAGAAAUUUGGAUUAAUAUCUCAUAGUAUGUGAUUUUGGCAUCAUUAUCACAUUAAAGGUUACGGUACAAGAUGAGUAUGCGUCCUAUUAGUUAGUUGGUGUGGUAACGGCACACCAAGGCUACGAUAGGUAGGGGCCCUGAGAGGGGGAUCCCCCACACUGGUACUGAGACACGGACCAGACUCCUACGGGAGGCCGCAGUGAGGAAUAUUGGACAAUGGGCGAGAGCCUGAUCCAGCCAUGCCGCGUGCAGGAAGACUGCCCUAUGGGUUGUAAACUGCUUUUAUACAGGAAGAAACACUCGGACGUGUCCGAGCUUGACGGUACUGUAAGAAUAAGGAUCGGCUAACUCCGUGCCAGCAGCCGCGGUAAUACGGAGGAUCCAAGCGUUAUCCGGAAUCAUUGGGUUUAAAGGGUCCGUAGGCUGGCAAUUAAGUCAGAGGUGAAAGUUUGCGGCUCAACCGUAAAAUUGCCUUUGAAACUGGUUGUCUUGAAUUAUUGUGAAGUGGUUAGAAUAUGUAGUGUAGCGGUGAAAUGCAUAGAUAUUACAUAGAAUACCAAUUGCGAAGGCAGAUCACUAACAAUAUAUUGACGCUGAUGGACGAAAGCGUGGGGAGCGAACAGGAUUAGAUACCCUGGUAGUCCACGCCGUAAACGAUGGUUACUAGCUGUUC